UGUCUGUUUGUUUGUUUUGAGACAGGGUCUCACUUUGUUGUACAGGCUGGAGUGUAGUGGCAUAAUCUUGGCUCACUGCAACCUUCACCUCCUAGGUCCAAAUGAUUCUCAUGCCUCAGCUUCCCGAAUAGCUGGGAUUGCAGGCCUGUGCCACCACACCCAGCUAAUUUUUGUAUUUUUAGUAGAGAUGGGGUUUCACCAUGUUGGCCAGGCUGGUCUCAAACUCCUGGCCUCAAGCGGUCUACCCACCUCAGCCUCCCAAAGUGCUAGGAUUACAAGUGUGAGCCACGAGAUCUGGCCUAGCAUUGAAUAGUCCUAAAAACAUUUCAUAAGGCUAGUAUUACCUUUAUAUAAAAACCAGAUGAAGAUUUUAAGAUUUGUAAAACUUGUGGACUGUAGAUAACUUUCUGUGUGUGUGUGUGUGUGCAUGUGCGUGUGCGUGUGUGUGUGUCUGUGUUUCUACAGAGUUAGGGCUUAAUGAACAAAUUUUUCUGUAAAUUGGGAUCCUGGGCUAAAAGUAACCCUUAUGUAAUUAAUUUACAACUGGAUAUAUAAUGAGACAAUUGUAUAGAUAGAAAGAUCAACUUAAUUCUGGAGAUGUGCUAUUACAUUUUAAGAAAAAAAUGAAGCUCAGGACCUUGAAACACCUUCCAGGUUGUAAAAUCCAAAAAGACAGCAAGUUGGGGAUGGGGUAGGGCUUAUUCUGGCCCUUGGAAAGAUGUAUUUAUAUUUCAAAAGGUUCGAGUGAGAACCCAAGAUCUAUUGCAUCUUCAGGAAGCAAAAGUUCUCCCUCUUUUUAUAAGGGAAACAAAGGCAGCUGUUUUUUUCUCCAUAAGAUAUAUGUAUAUUUAAAAAGAAAGAAAAUCAAUUUUCUUCUGUUUUGCUAAGAUACAGACUUAAUAUGCAUAGCAGAUUUUACCUGGAUUUCAACCAGUUGGUUCUGAGAUAAGAAUUUGUUGCUGGUAGUUAGGCACUAGCGGUAAAGGAGAGGGCUAUCCCCCACCCACUAGGAAUGUCAGCUGAUGUUUCAUCAACUAUCACAUUGCUUCUCUAAAAGUGAUAAAUUGGCAGCCAGGCAGAGGCCAUUUAAUGAUGGUCCACACCUGUUGCAUUGAAGUUUUAAUUGAAUUUUGGUGCCAGGGAGAAGAAAAAAGGGGCUUCCAAUAAAAUCUUGGGAAUUGGUCGGUUGAGCCCUGGCAUGCGUAUUAAAAGGCAAAAUGGUGGAGUAUGAUCUUCUGGAGGUGCUCCACUGGAAAAAGGGAAGAAAGUCUCAGAUGUGCAUGCCUACGACUUCCCAAAAUUACUGCUGUGCUCACUUCCCAAGGUUAAGGAGGGCACUGUGCAUUCAGGCAGCCCACACUAAGGGAAGAAUCAUGGGAAAGAGGCCAGCCUAUAAAGUCCUAGGAUCAAGGUUAAACACCACAUUUGUUCUACAGGUUUCCUGCUUGGGUCACUCCCAAGCAUACCUUAUUUGUUUUCCUGUUCUAAAGCUUUUUAAAAUAAUCUUCCAUGCCUUCUCUGAAACUUGCCUCUGUCUCUUUUUCUGCCUCAUGCCCAUCAGUUGAAUUCUAUCUUCUGAGGAGGCAUGAAUUGAGGUUGCUGCAGACCCAUUGGAAUUCACUGUCAGUACUUGGACACCUUCUACUGGAAGCGAGUUGGAAUGUGGGAAGCCAGACGCAGGAUGACUGUGGUCAGAAAUUAUUCUUCGUGACCAAAUUGGCUGAAAACUGGUUCUACUAUUUCUCUAAGUGGCAGCAUUCAUUUCUAUAACUUUAAAAAUUGUUUGUCUGCUAAAGAUCAACUAUUUUGUAUUUUUACACUUGGAUUCACCUCAAUAACAUAUAAUACCAACUGUAAACAAAAGUGGGUAUUGUGGAUUCAAAUGGUGUUAUGAAUCUUAUAUAUCAUCUCCAAGAACCCAUUUCCACUCCUGUUGGAUCUACACUCAUUGCAACUUCUCUCCUCUUACUAACAAUUUUGAAGCAAAUUUCAAAUAUUAUUGUAUUUCAUUAGUAAAGAUUUUAGCAGCCUAUCUUAGCAAUAAAACAUUUUUAAAAACUCACAA